rnacentral:lncRNA from 1 species
UCCCAGAAAAUGCCUGUUGAAAAGAAAAUUCCCAUGGUAGAUCUGAGUAAAAUCUUUCCACUUAUAUGAAUGAUCCAAAUCCCUUGGAAAGAAGAGGUUUCUGAAAUGAGAAGAAGCAGAACAGUUGUUUCUUAACAUUAUCAUGACUGCAAACAUUAGUCUCCACUGAGGACAGCAAUGAGUAGCUGAGCUGUCUUGACCAGGGCCUGAACCUACUGUCAUCUCUGCU